AGGGCUAUCGCCAAGCGGUAAGGCAUCUGGCUCUGACCCAGACAUUCGGAAGUUCGAAUCUUUCUAGCCCUGCCA
rnacentral:tRNA from 2 species